rnacentral:rRNA from 1 species
UACGGAGGAUCCGAGCGUUAUCCGGAUUUAUUGGGUUUAAAGGGUGCUCAGGCGGGCCAUUAAGUCGGCGGUGAAAUUUUGCGGCUCAACCGUAAAAGUGCCUUCGAUACUGGUGGUCUUGAGUGUGGAUGAGGUAGGCGGAAUUUGUGGUGUAGCGGUGAAAUGCAUAGAUAUCACGAGGAACUCCGAUUGCGCAGGCAGCUUACUAAACCAUAACUGACGCUCAGGCACGAAGGCGUGGGGAUCAAACAGGAUUAGAUACCCCUGUAGU